AAACGUCCCAGUUCGGAUUGCAGUCUGCAACUCGAGUGCAUGAAGCUGGAAUCGCUAGUAAUCGCGGAUCAGAAUGCCGCGGUGAAUACGUUCCCGGGUCUUGUACACACCGCCCGUCACACCAUGGGAGUCGGGAAUGCCCGAAGCCGGUGGCCCGAUCGAAAGAAGGGAGCCGUCGAAGGCAGGCCGGAUGACUGGGGUGAAGUCGUAACAAGGUACC
rnacentral:rRNA from 1 species